rnacentral:rRNA from 1 species
CCUUCGCACUGUGUUUACAGCAGUGUCACAGUGGACAAGGUGCUUAAAGCUCCGCGAAGAUGAAGGCAAUAACAGGUCUGUGAUGCCCUUAGAUGAUCUGGGCCGCACGCGCGCUACAAUGCUUUACAGAGAGAGUGAGCGAGGCGGGGUAGUACCGCUUGCGAACCUCUAACGUACUGCGUGUCUGUGGGAUUGACACCUGAAAAUGGGGUCAUGAACCAGGAAUUCCUAGUAGGCGCACGUCACUAGCGUGCGUCGAUUACGUCCCUGCCCUUUGUACACACCGCCCGUCGCUACUACCGAUUGAGUGUGCCGGUGAGGUACCUGGAGAACCACCCUGGUGUGUUCCAAAGGCCCCAAACUCGCACACUUAGAGGAAGUAUAAGUCG